UAGCAUAAUCAUUAGUUUUUUAAUUGGAGACUAGAAUGAAAGGUUUAAUAAAAAAUAAUCUUUAUUAAUUUUAAUAAAUUUCAAUUUAUUAUUUAAGUAAAAAAACUUAAAUUUUUAAAAAAGACGAUAAGACCCUAUAAAGCUUUAUAAAAUUUUUUUAAUAAUUAAUUAGUUUAAUAAAUUUAUUUAGUUUAAAAUUUUAUUUAAUUGGGGUGAUUGAAAGAUUAAAUAAACUCUUUUUUAAAUUUUUAUCAUUUAUUAAUGUUAAAAAAAUUGAUCCUAAUAAAUAUUAAAUAGAUUAAAAGAUUAAGUUACUUUAGGGAUAACAGCGUAAUUUUUUUAAAGAGUUCAUAUCGAUAAAAAAGAUUGCGACCUCGAUGUUGAAUUAAGAUAAUUUUUAGGUGAAGAAGUUUAAAUUUU
rnacentral:rRNA from 1 species